rnacentral:rRNA from 1 species
GACGAACGCUGGCGGCGUGCUUAACACAUGCAAGUCGAACGGAAAGGCCCUGCUUUUGUGGGGUGCUCGAGUAGCGAACGGGUGAGUAACACGUGAGUAACCUGCCCUUUACUUUGGGAUAACUUCAGGUAACUGGGGCUCAUACCGGAUAGGCGCUCCUGCUGCAUGGGGGGGGUUGGAAAGUUUCGGCGGUUGGGGAUGGACUCGCGGCUUAUCAGCUUGUUGGUGGGGUAGUGGCUUACCAAGGCUUUGACGGGUAGCCGGCCUGGGAGGGUGACCGGCCACAUUGGGACUGAGAUACGGCCCAGACUCCUACGGGAGGCAGCAGUGGGGAAUAUUGCACAAUGGGCGGAAGCCUGAUGCAGCAACGCCGCGUGCGGGAUGACGGCCUUCGGGUUGUAAACCGCUUUCGCCUGUGACGAAGCGUGAGUGACGGUAAUGGGUAAAGAAGCACCGGCUAACUACGUG